UUUCCUCAAUUGGGGUGGUUUCUUCGGAAAUCUGAGAACAUACCCAAAUCACCUGAUCUGGAUAAUGCCAGCGUAGGAAAAGGAAACUUCGAGGGC
rnacentral:ncRNA from 2 species